rnacentral:rRNA from 1 species
GAUGAACGCUGGCGGCGUGCUUAACACAUGCAAGUCGAACGGGAAUUAUUUUAUUGAAACUUCGGUCGAUUUAAUUUAAUUCUAGUGGCGGACGGGUGAGUAACGCGUGGGUAACCUGCCUUAUACAGGGGGAUAACAGUCAGAAAUGACUGCUAAUACCGCAUAAGCGCACAGGACCGCAUGGUCCGGUGUGAAAAACUCCGGUGGUAUAAGAUGGACCCGCGUUGGAUUAGCUGGUUGGUGGGGUAACGGCCCACCAAGGCGACGAUCCAUAGCCGGCCUGCGAGGGUGGACGGCGACAUUGGGACUGAGACACGGCCCAGACUCCUACGGGAGGCAGCAGUGGGGAAUAUUGCACAAUGGGGGAAACCCUGAUGCAGCGACGCCGCGUGAAGGAAGAAGUAUCUCGGUAUGUAAACUUCUAUCAGCAGGGAAGAUAGUGACGGUACCUGACUAAGAAGCCCCGGCUAACUACGUGCCAGCCGCCGCAGUAA